rnacentral:rRNA from 1 species
AUUGAACGCUGGCGGCAUGCCUUACACAUGCAAGUCGAACGGCAGCACGGGAGCAAUCCUGGUGGCGAGUGGCGAACGGGUGAGUAAAGUAUCGGAACGUGCCCAGUCGUGGGGGAUAACGUAGCGAAAGUUACGCUAAUACCGCAUACGAUCUAUGGAUGAAAGCGGGGGAUCGCAAGACCUCGCGCGAUUGGAGCGGCCGAUAUCAGAUUAGGUAGUUGGUGGGGUAAAGGCUCACCAAGCCGACGAUCUGUAGCUGGUCGGAGAGGACGACCAGCCACACUGGGACUGAGACACGGCCCAGACUCCUACGGGAGGCAGCAGUGGGGAAUUUUGGACAAUGGGCGCAAGCCUGAUCCAGCCAUGCCGCGUGCAGGAUGAAGGCCUUCGGGUUGUAAACUGCUUUUGUACGGAACGAAAAGGUUUGGCCUAAUAAGCUGAGCUCAUGACGGUACCGUAAGAAUAAGCACCGGCUAACUAUGUGCCAGCCGCCGCAGUAACAC